CCUACGGGUGGCAGCAGUAGGGAAUAUUGCACAAUGGGCGAAAGCCUGAUGGAGCAACGCCGCGUGGGUGAAGAAGGUCUUCGGAUUGUAAAACCCUGUUGUUAGAGAAGAAAGAGCGCGAGAGCAACUGAUCACGUUUCGACGGUAUCUAACCAGAAAGCCACGGCUAACUACGUGCUAGCAGCCGCGGUAAGACGUAGGGGGGAAGCGUUAUCCGGAUUUAUUGGGCGUAAAGGGAACGCAGGCGGUCUGUUAAGUCUGAUGUGAAAGCCUUCGGCUUAACCGGCGUAGUGCAAUGGAAACUGGGGGGCUGGAGUGCCGCAGAGGCAGGCGGAACGCCAUGUGUAGCGGUGAAAUGCGUAGAUAUCUGGAAGAACACCAGUGGCGAAGGCGGCUCUCUGGACUGUAACUGACGCUGAGGUUCGAAAGCGUGGGGAGCAAACAGGAUUAGAUACCCGAGUAGUC
rnacentral:rRNA from 1 species